rnacentral:rRNA from 1 species
GAGUUUGAUCCUGGCUCAGGAUGAACGCUGGCGGCGUGCUUAACACAUGCAAGUCGAACGAAGCACUGGAAACGGAAUUCUUCGGAAGGAAGUAUUUAGUGACUGAGUGGCGGACGGGUGAGUAACGCGUGGGUAACCUGCCUCAUACAGGGGGAUAACAGUUAGAAAUAGCUGCUAAUACCGCAUAAGACCACAGAGUCGCAUGACUCAGUGGGAAAAACUCCGGUGGUAUGAGAUGGACCCGCGUCUGAUUAGCUAGUUGGUAAGGUAACGGCUUACCAAGGCGACGAUCAGUAGCCGACCUGAGAGGGUGACCGGCCACAUUGGGACUGAGACACGGCCCAAACUCCUACGGGAGGCAGCAGUGGGGAAUAUUGCACAAUGGGGGAAACCCUGAUGCAGCGACGCCGCGUGAGUGAUGAAGUAUUUCGGUAUGUAAAGCUCUAUCAGCAGGGAAGAAAAUGACGUACNGC